AUGCUGGUGGCUGGGUACGGGUGCCGGGGCUGUGUGGAGUUGCAGGCGCAGCUGGGGAAGUGUUUCCCUGAGAGGGGCGGCAGGUUUCCCAGGAUGGGUGAUCGCUGGCCGCUGGCCACAAGCCUGCGAGUGGGUCUGUUUGAAGCAGUCCCGGCUUGGAGGAUUGUGGGUGAGCCAGCCGGUUCCACUGUCCUUGGCGCAGCCACAGCGCUGGUGGUUGCAGUGCCAGGCUGGCCGCGGGUUGAAGACCUAGCUGCCUGUGGUUUUGCUGGACACCCAUCCUGUCGGCAGCUGCCCAAUUUCCCUCUAUCGUUACCUCUGCCUCCUUCGGAGGAAAAGACCAGCCUUCCCUUUCGGGUGGGGAUAUCGCUCCAUUUGGUGGAUUUCAAAAAGCUUAAAUAUUUGGAAGAAAGAAACUUAAAAUAG
rnacentral:lncRNA from 1 species